rnacentral:misc_RNA from 1 species
GGGAACUGUUGCUUAUAAGUUAACCGAUUUGCUUGAGCAACAAACAUUGGAUGUCACAACCUUGGAGCUAAAGGUCACUUGUCUUGAUCAGCGACUUCUGACAUGCAAAACAUACACUGAGAAAGAAGGCCUCAGGCAGCAACAGCUAUUAGCCAUCAUCCCAAGGCAUCACAAGCAUUAUAUUUUGCCAAAUUCUGCUGGAAAGAAGGUGCACUUCAGCCCUCAAGUUAAGAUGGAUUCAAGGCAACAUUUACAAGCAAGACCCCGCCUUUAUCCUUCAGGUACUCCUGCUGCGAAAACUCUCUCAUGGCAUCUGGCAACAGAAACCAAAUCGACAUUGAAAGGGAAUUCACGUACUUUUAUGAGUCCUGAGGAAGCAAAAGUUUCUGAAAAAGCAUCUGCCGCGUUCAACUUGUUAGAUGAAGAGAAUACCCGGAAGAAAUCAUAUGUAGCCCGUCCUCCGUCACCCAAUGUUGGUCCAGCAUCAAGU